CCUACGGGUGGCAGCAGUGAGGAAUAUUGGUCAAUGGCCGGAAGGCUGAACCAGCCAUGCCGCGUGAAGGUCAGUGCCCUAUGGGCGUUAAACUUCUUUUGUGCGGGAGCAAUAAUGGUCACGUGUGGCCAGACGAGAGUACCGUACGAAUAAGCAUCGGCUAACUCCGUGCCAGCAGCCGCGGUAAUACGGGUGAUGCAAGCGUUAUCCGGAUUUAUUGGGUUUAAAGGGUGCGUAGGCUGUGAGUUAAGUCAGCGGUGAAAUGCCCGCGCUCAACGGGGUGAAGUGCCAUUGAUACUGCCUGGCUGGAAUGCGGAUGCCGUGGGAGGAAUGUGUGGUGUAGCGGUGAAAUGCAUAGAUAUCACACAGAACACCGAUUGCGAAGGCAUCUCACGAAUCCGCGAUUGACGCUGAUGCACGAAAGCGUGGGUAUCAAACAGGAUUAGAUACCCCGGUAGUC
rnacentral:rRNA from 1 species